rnacentral:rRNA from 1 species
UACGUAUGGUGCAAGCGUUAUCCGGAUUUACUGGGUGUAAAGGGAGCGCAGGCGGCGCGUUAAGCCUGGUGCGAAAGCCCGCGGCCCAACCGCGGGACUGCAUUGGGAACUGGCGCGCUGGAGUGCCGGAGGGGUAGGCGGAAUUCCUAGUGUAGCGGUGAAAUGCGUAGAUAUUAGGAGGAACACCAGUGGCGAAGGCGGCCUACUGGACGGUGACUGACGCUGAGGCUCGAAAGCGUGGGGAGCAAACAGG